rnacentral:lncRNA from 1 species
UAUUCCUUCUUUGCAAUGGCCUCCUUGUUUUCCUUGCAAAAUUUUCUGGACUCAUUAGUUCUUCAUCACAGCAGAGUAAUCUUAGUGAUGAUUACUAUAAUCAUCAGUCUUUCAAAAGCUAUACAUACAUCCCUCAAACUGAGUCGACCCGCUUGGACACCUCAACACCAUUGUUGGACUUGGAGAAGGAAGAAAACGCUGGUUUUGUUGACGAAGAGGCAAAAGGGUCCUCAAGUGAUGAACCUUUUGUCGAAGACAAUGAAGAAAGUGAAACCUAUGAACCAGAAGAAGAAGAAGAAGAUAUUGAAGAAAGUGAAAACUAUGAACCAGAAGAAGAAGAAGAAGAAUUAAUGGAAGGAAACAAUGUGUUAGUACUGAAGAGAUGAACAAAAGAUUUGAUGAAUUUAUCAGAAAAAUGAAGGAAGGAUUAAGGAUCGAAGCUCAACAACAAUUAGUCAUGGUUUAAUCAUCAUCAAAGAAUCAAAAUCUCCAUAUUGUUCAUAUAGUUUCCAUGUUUGUAUAAUAUAUAUGUUUUUCUGUUCUUCUCCUUUUCACUAUAAUUUUGUACAUAAAUGGUAGUAGUCUUAGUUGUAUGAAGCAUUAACCAGACCUGUUGAUGAGAUGGGAUGAUUCUGGGUCGAGUCGGGUUUUCUUAUUUAAGUUUAGUAUUCGGGUUCAAAUCAUUUUUAUUUAGUUCUUUCUUGAGUUUAAUAUUAAACGGAUUCAAACUGUUGAUUUUUAUGAUAAAAACUGUGUUGAAUCAAAUUUGAAUUAGAAUUAAUCACAUUAAAUUUUCGUACUGAGGUCGAAGUUAGCAGUUCUAGUUAUAGCUCAUUUGCAAUAAUAAUCCUUGUUGUUUUAAAGGAUUAAUGUCGUAGUUUCACCUCAUGUAAAUCAUGUGUUUGAUAAUACAAUAUUAGCCCCUUUAAUUUUUGCUUUUAACUCAUGUUGGACUCUUAUUUUAUUUUGAAAUAUUUCGUAUUUAAUAUAUAUCCAAACAUGAUUAUAAGCAGGGGUGAAGUCAGAACAAUUUUUUAGGGGUGGAUGAAAUUUUUGUUUUUUAUAGUAUUUAUCUUUAUAAUUUUUAAAUGAUUAAAUCGAUUUUUUAUAAUUUUAGGGGGUUAAAAUAUAAUUUUACCUUUACUAAUUUAAAAUUUUAAAAAAAUUAAGAACCUAAAUAGUAUUUUUACAUUUUAGGGGGGCCAGGCUGGCAGGCCCUUGCCAUCCCCUAGAUUCGCCACCGAUUAUAAGAAUAUAUUUUUUUCAAAAGAAAAUGCACACAUACUUAUAUUUAAAAGAUAAAAUAACUUAUUCGACAAUUCAAUUUUACAAAAUAAUAAUAAUAAUAACACUCCGUUUAAUUUCUUAUUUAUUUUAGCUAUUAAACUUGUAUUAUUCGCCAAAUCACCUCAAAAUAAAUAGAAAAAUUAACAUUUAUUAACUUUGCUGACUAACAUUCAAAUGGAAUGGCACGAUGUCACAUCAACAAUUAAUUAUUUUUUUAAUUUAAAAAUUCAAUAAAAUUAUUAAAAAGUAUAAAUUUAUAGAAAAUAUUUUUUUAUUUUUUAAAAAUUAAUUAAUUACUAACGUAACAUCCAUGUGGAUGCCACAUCAGCAAAGUUAACAGACAUUAAUUUUUUAUCUAUUUUAGCGUAAUUUGACAAACAAUACAAACCGAAAAGCUAAAAAGGAUAAAAAAAUAAAUGAAAAUUUAAAAUAAUUUUUUUAUAAAGUUGAUGGAUCAAAUAAAUCAUUAUACGUAUUUAAAACUCAAAUCUAAAUCCAAGUAACACUAUCAUUAUAGGUAAUUUUUUUUGAACGAUCUCAUUAUAAGUUUUGAUCAUAUCUAUUUUUUUAAACACAAUGCUUAGAAUUACCCAUAGCCCAUAGCCCAUAGCCUAUAGCCCCUCCUUAACCCAUGAAUAAGAGGAUAAUGCGCUUCAGCGCGCUCGAACCCACGUCCUUUUGUAUUAACAAUAAUAUUUAUAUCAAUCGAACUAAAACUUGAAGGACAAUUUUUUUCAAAGUAAUUUAGUUGCCAAUAACUAUUCAAAUUUAAAGAGAAAAGGAAAAUUCAUGGUGGCAUUUCAAUUUCAUUUUAGGAUCUAAUCAACCAAUUAGAACUAAUUUAUUGAUACAGAUGGAUGAUAGAGAAAAUAAAAUAUUAAAUGGGAAACUCCUAUGCCUCUAUGUAUCUUAUGGUUCCUAUCUUAUAUCUGGUCUUUUCAAUUUCACUUUCAAUUGUUUUAAUCACAUUAAUUUAGUAUCCUAUUAGGUUGCAUCUGUAUCAAUUGUACACUUGAUUAUAUUUUUUAUGAUUUUUUUUAAUUUUUAUAACAAAUAAUUGAUAAUUUUAUUAUGAGAUUAUAACAUUUUUAAUUUUAAAAUUUAUUUUUUAAAGAAAAAUACUAUUUUUUAAGGAAAAAUAUUAAAAAACCGAUGCAAUAUUUGUUUUGAACAAUCUCAAUUAUGUUCAUAUUUGCUAUUUUUAACAUAAUGGCUAAAACUACUCAUAGUUCAUUCCCAAUCCAUAGCUCCUAAAACUACCAUCAACCUUUCAAAAAAAAGUCAAAUUGUUGUAUUUUUAACGAAAAUAUUGAAUAAAAUAUUAAAUUUUUAAGCAUGGCAGUUCGCAUGACAAUUCAUGUGUACUUCAUGUUUUUUUUAAUAUUUUAUAAUUUUUAAAUUAUUUGCUGACGUGGUACAUAGAUAAAUAGUGUCGUGUAUAUGUUACCAUGGAGCAUACAUGGACUACCACGUAGGUUUUCGCGCCAACAUCGCUAAAAAUAUAAUAUUUUAGUUAGCAUUUUCAUUAAAAAAGUGAUUUGGCUCUUCUCAAAAGAUCAAGAAUCAAAUUUAGCUACAAAAAAAAGAAUUACAGCUAAAUCGACAAAAGAUGUAAAUAUUGAAGGCUAAAUUUAUCAUUAUAAAGGACUUAAAUUUUUUAAUUUUUUAAAUUAGAAAUUAGAUUUUAAUUUAUUUUCAAAGCCUAAAGACUAAUAGUAUAUUUAAACAUAAAAAUUAGAAAAAUUGUGAUUAAAUCCAAAAGUUUUAAAAGAUGAGAUGAAAUUGAAUGUGGUGCAAAUACUAAUCUUUGAACAAAAGGUUUGAUGAAUUUAUCAGAAAGGUGAAAGAGGAAUUAAGCACGGAAGCUUGACAACAGUUAGUCAUUGUUGAUCAUUUGUCAAAUCAUUUCGGGUUUUGGGUAAUGAAUUUUUUAGGUUGGGUAAUGAAGGCAUCGAGGAAUGGCACAGUAGUAAAUCAGGGUUCACGAUGCUCGGGGCCUUGGAACCUUGAUAAAGUUACACAGAGAAAACACAAUCUAACCAACAAGGUCCAGAAGAGCCAGUGGGUGGACAAUGUAUAUUGUGUUGGGUAUGGGUCCCACUAUGUGGGAAACCCAUAUUUUCUGCCAUAAUGUUUUGUCUUUCUAUUAUUAUUGAGUGUCAAAUUCUCAAUUUAAAAGAGAGAAAAACAGAGAGUGAGAUUGAAGCUCGUUGGAGAAAAAGAGAGAAUAAAAAAAAAAUCAAUUUUUCAAGCUUGGUGCAGCAGUGAUCAACUCCUCGAUCGAAGGUCCAUCCGUGGUUCGAUUGAGCUGAUUUUUGGACAACAGCUAGAUGAUAAGGUGUUCUUGACUUUGUACAGUCAGAUUUUUCAUCCGAGUCUUGUAGCGUCGGAAAUACCCAUUUUUCAGCAGCUACAUUUUUGGUGAUGUUCUCUCAUUUUUCUCUCUUUUGCCAAAGAUUACAUAUUGUUAGCCUUGUCGGAGUUGAAUGCUUGUUGUAGGCUUGAUAUUGUGAUCUUGUAGUUGAACAUUUGAUGAUAGUGGAACUCUUGAUCGGACUCUAAAGUCCCAUGGUUUUUACCCUUGAUUUAGAAGGGGUUUUCCACGUAAAAAUACCGGUGUCUCUAUUUAUUUUUGUUGUGGUUGCAUUAGUUGAUUUGUGGUUGAUUAAGGUUGCUAGAGAACAUAUCUUGUGCUAUUGUGCUUGCCAUAAUUUUUGACAGGAGUUAUAAGGAGAGAAAGAACACCGGUUGUGCUUUCGCUUUGUUUCGGUUGUUCGGUUUCUUCCCAACAAACUGGUACCAGAGCUUGGUUAUUGUGUCAGAUAAUUAUGGAAAUUAAUACGAGCAAGAUGAUUAUGUUGAAUGGCACAAAUUAUCAACUUUGGCGGAAUGAAAUGAAGGACUUAUUGUUUGUGAAGGCUUUGCAUCUUCCGGUCUUUACUACUCAAAAACCCGAUUCGAAAAGUGAUGAAGAAUGGGAAUUUGAGCAUCAACAAGUGUGUGGCUUUAUUCGGCAAUUUGUUGAAGAAAAUGUUUACAACCACAUUGAUCAAGAGACACAUGCUCGAACAUUGUGGGAGAACCUUGAAAGCUUGUAUGCUUCGAGGUCGGGCAAUAACAAGUUGUUUUUGCUGAAGAAAAUGAUGGCGCUGAAAUAUAAAGAAGGAAUGUCUAUAGCUGACCAUGUUAGUGAAUUUCAGAGUGUGAUGAAUCAGUUGCUUGGUAUGGGUGUCAAAUUUGAUGACGAGAUUUUAGGACUUUGGUUGCUUGCUACUCUACCAGACUCUUGGGAGACCUUUCGAGUCUCACUCAUUAAUUCUGCCCCACAGGGUAUUAUUACUUUGGAUUUGGCUAAGAGUGGUGUGUUGAAUGAAGAGGUUAGAAGAAGAUCUCAGGGUUCUACAUCACAGUCCGAGGUGUUGGUUAUCGAGAACAGGGGGAGAAACAGAGACAAAGAUGGAAAGGGUAGAGAUAAAAGCCGAAGCAAGUCAAGAUCGAGAUACAAGAAUCUUGAGUGUCAUCAUUGUGGUAAGAAAGGUCAUAUCAAGAAAUAUUGCUUCAAGUGGAAGAAAGAGAACAAAGGUGGUGGUGAUAAACACGAUCGGAAUGACGAUGAAAAAUCUGAGCGUGUUGCUACUGUUACUCGUGAAGAUCUGUUAGUUAUUUGUGAUGAGAAUUUGGUCAACCUAGCAUGCGACGAGACUAGUUGGGUGAUUGAUACUGGUGCAUCACUUCAUGUCACAUCGAGGAAGGAAUUCUUCACAUCUUAUACUCCUGGUGAUUUUGGGCUAUUGAAGAUGGGUAAUGAUGGUUUGGUUUCGGUUAUUGGUAUGGGAGAUGUUAGCUUGGUAAGUAACAAUGGAACAAAGUUAACUCUCAAGGAUGUCAGACAUGCACCGGAUGUCCGUUUGAAUUUGAUUUCUGCAGGAAAACUUGAUGAUGAGGGAUUCUGUAACACCUUCAGUGAAGGGCAGUGGAAGCUGACUAAAGGCUCAUUGGUUGUGGCUCGAGGAAAGAAGAGCUCAAAUUUGUACUUGAUGCAAGCUUUGACUUCUCGAGAGACGGUGAAUGUGACACUGAAUGACAACUCAACUGAGUUGUGGCAUAAACGACUCAGUCACAUGAGUGAGAAGGGGCUUAGCUGUUUAGCGAAGAAGAAUCAACUUUCGGGUUUAAAGAAUGCUACACUGAAGAAUUGUGCUCAUUGUCUAGCAGGAAAGCAGAAAAGAGUUUCAUUUAGAAGCCAUCCUCCUCAUAGGAAAUCAGAGUUGCUAGAGUUGGUCCAUUCAGAUGUUUGUGGUCCGAUAAAAGUAAGAUCACAUGGUGGUGCACUUUACUUUGUGACUUUCAUUGAUGAUUGUUCAAGAAAGCUAUGGGUUUACACUUUGAAGUCUAAAAAUCAAGUCUUUGAGGUGUUUAAACAGUUUCAAGCAUCAGUUGAAAGGGAAACUGGGAAGAAGUUGAAGUGCAUUCGUACUGAUAAUGGUGGCGAGUACACAGGGUCGUUUCAUGAGUAUUGUUUGCGACAGGGAAUCAGACAUCAGAGAACACCACCAAAGACUCCACAGUUAAAUGGGUUAGCUGAAAGAAUGAACCGAACAUUGAUUGAGAGAGUCAGAUGUUUGUUGUCAGAUGCAAAGUUACCAAGAUCGUUUUGGGCUGAAGCUUUGAAUACAGUGACACAUGUGAUAAAUCUGUCUCCUAGUGUUCCUUUGAAAGGUGAUGUGCCAGAUAGAGUUUGGUUUGGUAAAGACGUGUCAUAUGAUCACCUACAUGUGUUCGGUUGUAAAGCAUUUGUUCAUGUUCCAAAGGAUGAAAGAUCCAAGUUAGAUGCCAAGGCUCGACAAUGCAUUUUUAUUGGUUAUGGUCUAGAUGGUGAGUUUGGUUAUAGACUCUAUGAUCCAGUUCAGAAGAAACUCGUGAGAAGCAGAGAUGUUGUCUUCAUUGAGGAUCAGACCAUUGAUGACAUUGAUAAGACGGAGAAAGUGGAUUCACAAGGUAGUGGUGACUUGAUCGAUGUGAAUCCGGUUCCCCUAGACUCUUCACCAGAUCCUAUCCAGGAUGAUGUGCAUGGUGAUGUUAGUGGUAACCAUCAGACUAUAGGUGACUUUGAUACUCCCAUGGAUGAUGUUGUGAAUGAUCAACAACAAGCACCUAUAGCUCCACCAGCAGUUCCACUUCGAAGGUCUUCCAAAGAUCGACGAUCUUCUGUCAGGUAUUCUCCUGAUGAAUAUGUUCUUUUGACUGACGGGAGAGAACUUGAAUGUUAUGAAGAGGCUAUGGAGAGUGAAUGCAAAGAUCAGUGGGUUGAAGCGAUGAAAGACGAACUUCAAUCCUUGCAUGAGAACCAUACUUUUGAAUUGGUGAAACUGCCUAAGGGCAAAAGAGUUUUGAAUAAUCGGUGGGUUUACAGGUUGAAGCAAGAAGAGAAGUCUUCAUCUCCACGAUACAAAGCUAGAUUGGUCGUCAAGGGUUAUACUCAGAAAAAGGGGGUUGAUUUUGAAGAAAUAUUUUCUCCGGUUGUGAAGAUGUCCUCUAUCAGAACUAUACUGAGUUUGGUAGCUUGUUAUGACCUAGAGGUUGAACAAAUGGAUGUGAAAACUGCUUUUCUUCAUGGUGACUUGGAAGAAGAGCUUUACAUGGAGCAGCUAGAGAGUUUUGUUGCACAAGGGAAAGAGGACUAUGUGUGCAGAUUGAAGAAGAGCUUGUAUGGUUUGAAGCAAGCUCCAAGGCAAUGGUACAAGAAGUUUGAGUCUGUUAUGGGGGAGCAAGGCUACAAGAAGACUACUUCUGAUCAUUGUGUGUUUGUUAAGAGAUUCUCUGGUGAUGAUUUUAUUAUUCUUUUGCUCUAUGUUGAUGAUAUGCUUAUUGUUGGUCAGAAUGCUUCUAGAAUUGAGAAGUUGAAACAAGAGUUGAGUAAAUCCUUUGCAAUGAAGGAUUUGGGGCCAGCAAAGCAAAUUCUUGGCAUAAGACUGACACGUGAUAGAAAGGCCAAGAAAUUAUGGUUAUCACAAGAGAGGUACAUUGAGAAAGUACUUCAAAGGUUUAGUAUGGACAAAGCUAAAGCGGUGAAUACUCCCUUUGCUAUGCACUUUAGAUUGAGUGUUAAGUAUAGUCCUUCCACAGAAAAGGAGAAGGAAGAGAUGCAGAAAAUUCCUUACUCUUCAGCCGUGGGUAGUUUGAUGUACGUAAUGGUUUGCACGAGACCAGACUUGGCUUAUGCCGUUGGUACAGUUAGUCGGUUUCUUUCUAAUCCAGGCAGAGAGCAUUGGAAUGCAGUGAAGUGGAUUAUGAGAUAUCUUCGUGGCACUUCCAACAUGAAACUUUGUUUCGGCAAUGAGAAACCUGUUCUUGUUGGGUAUACAGAUUCAGACAUGGCCGGAGACAUUGACUCGAGGAGAUCUACUUCAGGUUACUUAAUCACUUAUGCAGGGGGAGCUGUGGCAUGGCAAUCGAGACUGCAAAAGUGUGUUGCAUUGUCCACCACCGAAUCAGAGUUCAUUGCAGCAACCGAAGCGUGUAAGGAGAUGCUUUGGAUGAAGAAGUUUGUGUAUGAGCUUGGUUUUACUCAGGAGAAGUAUGUCCUGUACUGUGAUAGCCAGAGUGCUAUUCAUCUUGGUAAGAACUCAACUUUUCAUGCUAGAUCUAAGCAUAUUGAUGUGAGGUACCAUUGGAUACGAGAUGUUCUUGAAGCUAAGCUGUUAGAGCUUGAGAAGAUACACACUAAUGAUAAUGGUGCUGAUAUGUUGACGAAGGCCUUACCAAGAGGAAAGUUUGAAGCAUGUUGUUUGACCUCCGGCAUGGAGGCAUUCCCCACAUAGUUGGAGGGGGAGAUUUGUUGGGUAUGGGUCCCACUAUGUGGGAAACCCAUAUUUUCUGGCAUAAUGUUUUGUCUUUCUAUUAUUAUUGAGUGUCAAAUUCUCAAUUUAAAAGAGAGAAAAACAGAGAGUGAGAUUGAAGCUCGUUGGAGAAAAAGAGAGAAUAAAAAAAAAUCAGUUUUUCAAGCUUGGUGCAGCAGUGAUCAACUCCUCGAUCGAAGGUCCAUCCGUGGUUCGAUUGAGCUGAUUUUUGGACAGCAGCUAGAUGAUAAGGUGUUCUUGACUUUGUACAGUCGGAUUUUUCAUCCGAGUCUUGUAGCGUCAGAAAUACCCAUUUUUCAGCAGCUACGUUUUUGGUGAUGUUCUCUCAUUUUUCUCUCUUUUGCCAAAGAUUACAUAUUGUUAGCCUUGUCGGAGUUGAAUGCUUGUUGUAGGCUUGAUAUUGUGAUCUUGUAGUUGAACAUUUGAUGAUAGUGGAACUCUUGAUCGGACUCUAAAGUCCCGUGGUUUUUACCCUUGAUUUAGAAGGGGUUUUCCACGUAAAAAUACCGGUGUCUCUAUUUAUUUUUGUUGUGGUUGCAUUAGUUGAUUUGUGGUUGAUUAAGGUUGCUAGAGAACAUAUCUUGUGCUAUUGUGCUUGCCAUAAUUUUUGACAGGAGUUAUAAGGAGAGAAAGAACACCGGUUGUGCUUUCGCUUUAUUUCGGUUGUUCGGUUUCUUCCCAACAUAUUGGUUCACCCAUACACGACGCUGAUGGACACAGUGAAAAAGCUGAGGAUGACGAUGUUUUUGGUAUCGUUAAUGGACACAGUCAAAUUCAAAUUUAGUAAUAUUUCACUCAAACAACUCACGAGCUUCAUCGAACAUUUAAUUUUUUUAUAUUAUUAAAUUAUGUUAUUACCAUUCACAUAUAUUAUUAACCCUAAGCUUAAUUGAGUAUAAAAUUGAUAAAUGAGCUCAAAAUCGAAUAGCUUAUAUAUGAUAUCUUAUGGUUCCUAUAUGAUAUCAAGUCUUUUUAGUUCCAUCUAUAAUUGUUUUGCUUUAAUGACAUUAAUUUGGUAUUCCAUUUAUAUUAACAAAAUGUUAAAAUUUUGUUGUUAGUCUUUAUACUUUUCUAAAAUUUGACAUUUAGUCUAUAUACUUUAAAUGUAAAUAAUUUAAGUAUCUUACUUUUUCAAUUUAAAAAUCCUUGUGCAAUCACUAAAACCGUUACUAGUUUUCGUCAAAAUUUAUCAACUUGGUAUUAUACGAGGGUAGCCUAAUUAGUAUGCCAAAUUGACAUUUUUUUCGAAAAAUACAAACGAUAUUAAUAUCUAAAUUGAGAUUUUUAAAUUGAAAGUACAAUGACGGAAGAUAUUGUAACACCCCUUAUAUGGUUCGACUACCGACAUGGAAUAGCAAUAUCACUUAACAAGAUUAUUUAAUACAAUUUCAGACUUUUAUCAAGCUUUGAACACAUGUUUGAAAUUAUUUUGAACCAUUCCCAAGGUGUUUGAAUUUACCCACAACAUAAAAUGGGGUUCCGAGAACCUAGAAUGACAAAAAAAAAUACAAGUUUUGAAGGUGUAAUAUUGGCUUAAGUCUCGAGACUUAGGCAACAAAUCUCAAUACUGGGCCUAUAGGUCUUGAGACUUGGACUUCCUACUACAAAUUUUUACUAUUGACUUGCUAGUCUCGUUACUAAAAGAGUUUAAUCUCAAGACUUAAUGUUGGGGAUCUCAAAAUUAGUUCAAAAACACUUCGAGUCAUCCCAAACAUCAUUAUAUGAUACCAAUAAAUCUAAAAUAAUUUCAAAACCAUUUUAAAGCUCAUUCUAGCUUAAUUUCGAGUUAUACUCAUGUUCAAAUGUCAAAUAAAGUAUUCACAUAAUUUCUAAUGACACAUGGUAACUCAAAUAAAUGUAAUUAGAAACGUUAUGCUAGCCUAAUCUCAAGCUCUAUGGAAAAGUUGUUAAGCUCAAAGAGUUUCAUAAGUGCACUCAAACUUCCUACCUUACCUUAUCACAUAUAUAUAUUAUUAACCCUAAGUUUAAUUAUUGAGCUUAAUUGAGCUCAAACUCGAGUAACUCAAUUAUAUCUCGACCCAAGAUCAAACUUAAAAAUAGAUAUUCGAUCAAGUUCAAACCAAGUAUCGAGCUUCAAAUUUCAAGUCAAACUUAACAGUAUUUAGACUCGAAUUAGCUCAAUUCUAAAGCAAAAUAACAGUGGCUUAAAAGAGAGAAAUAUUCAUUUGUAACCCAAAUUAAAUGAGUUGAUGAUAACCAAUUAGAACUAACGUAUUGAUACGGGCGGAUGAUAGAGAAAGGACACUCCUAGCCAAGGCCUCUAUGUAUCUUAUGGUUCCUAUAUGAUAUCAGGUCUCUUUAGUUCCAUCUAUAAUUGUCUUGUUUUAAUGACAUUAAUUUGGUAUUCCAUUAAUUAUAUUAACAAAUGGUUAAAUUUUGUCGUUAAUCUCUAUACUUCUAUGAAAUUUGAGAUUUAGUCCAUAUGCUUUAAAAGUUCUAGUUCAAUCACCAAAACCGUUAGUAUUUUUCGUCAAAACUUGUCAACUCGACAUUAUAUAAAGGCAGUCUAAUCAACAUGUCAAAUUGGUAUUUUUCUGAAUAACACUAACAAUAUUAAUGAUUGGAUGAGUUUUUAAGUAUAAUAACUAAAUCUUUAAAAAAAAUCGCAUAUACUACUUAUUAGUUAGCUCUUCAUUUUACUUAUAUGAAGCGGUGAUUAAAAUUUUUAUCAAACACCCGUCUGAUAUAAGUUCAAGUUAUGUUAUCCUAUUCCAAUAUUUAUUAAGAAAAGUUUUUUUAAUAUAUAUUUACAGAGAAGUCCUAAUUGAAAGAUGGUAAUAGUUAAGGACUUAGACAUUAGAUAUAAGGAGAAAUUUUUUUUAUAAAAAAUCCUAAUUUAAUUAUUAUAAAAGAAGUUGUAUUUGGAAAUUUAAACCCAAACUUGGUAGUUGCAAUGUUAAAUAAAAUUUUUAAAAAAUCAAAUAAAAACUCAAAUCAAUUUGAUUCCUCUAUAAAAAGGGCAUACCCCUUUAGUUUCUUAGCCUUACAAAUUACCAAACAUAGACAUCCCAUUGCAUCUCCCAAUUUCAAGUCUCCAACACCAAAAAGGAGAGUUUAAAGAGGAAAAAAAUGGAUCAAACAGGAAACCAGAAGCAGAAGCAAUCACUGAUGAGUCAGUUCAUAGAAACUCAGUUCCAUAGAAAUCUGACUCAGUUGCUUCUUUCAGUUUCUAUUUUUUCCUUGUUUUUUUCUCACUCAUAUUGCCUUUCCUUGUUCCAUUCCUUUAGCUUCACUUUCCAUAACACACUUGCUUUCAAGUUUAUUAGCCAUAACAUAGAUAAAAACUUCAUAUUCCUUCUUUGCAAUGGCCUCCUUGUUUUCCUUGCAAAAUUUUCUGGACUCAUUAGUUCUUCAUCACAGCAGAGUAAUCUUAGUGAUGAUCACUAUAAUCAUCAGUCUUUCAAAAGCUAUACAUACUUCCCUCAAACUGAGUCGACCCGCUUGGACGCCUCAACACCAUUGUUGGACUUGGAGAAGGAAGAAAACGCUGGUUUUGUUGACGAAGAGGCAAAAGGGUCCUCAAUUGAUGAACCUUUUGUUGAAGACAAUGAAGAAAGUGAAACCUAUGAACCAGAAGAAGAAGAAGAAGAAGAAGAUAUUGAAGAAAGGGAACACUAUGAACCAGAAGAAGAAGAAGAAGAAGAAGAAGAAGAAGAAGAAUUAAUGGAAGGAAACAAUGUGUUAAGUACUGAAGAG